rnacentral:rRNA from 1 species
AGGGAAAUGGGUUAAUAUUCCCAUACUAUGAUCAUACACUGUGUAUAUUAUAAAUUUAUUUAUAAUAUACAUAGAGGGGCGGUAACGCGUAUGAUAUCAUGUAUGUCAUGCAUAAUCCUAGCAAGAGAUAUCUUUUCUUGUUUAAAAUAGCUUGACCAUGGAAUGAAUUCAUUUCGAGAUAUGGUUGACGUUAUUAUAAAGUACAUUAGUUUCUAAUGUAUCUAGGCUCUUAUACAUGACCCGUGAAAACAUGAUGGAUCCCUUUAUGUAUGACAUNACCGUACCUAAACCGCAUCAGGUUUUCAAGGUUCAUAGCCUCUAGUCGAUAGAACAAAGUAGGUAAGGGAAGUCGGCAAAAUAGAUCCGUAACUUUGGGAAAAGAAUUGGCUCCAAUAGAGUAGGGCACAUUGUUCCUUGGGCGGUGGACGAUAUUUAUAUAUAUGUAUAUAUAUGUGGGCGAUUAUAUCAAACAUGUAUAUAUGCAUAUGUAUAAAUAUCGGUCAUUUAGCUCUAUGGAUUAGUUAUGCAAAUAACCAUGUGUCCACAUAAACUCCGGAUUGGAACUGACACGGACUCGGGGAAUCCGACUGUCUAAUUA